rnacentral:rRNA from 1 species
AGGCUGCAACUCGCCUGUAUGAAGUCGGAAUUGCUAGUAAUCGCGGAUCAGCAUGCCGCGGUGAAUACGUUCCCGGGGAUUGUACACACCGCCCGUCACACCAUGAGAGUCGGGAACACCCAAAGUCCGUAGUCUAACCGCAAGGAGGACGCGGCCUAAGGUGGGUUCGAUAAUUGGGGUGAAGUCGUAACAAGGUAUC